CACAUACGUGCGGGCCUUUGUGUGUGUGUGUGAUUGUUUUUGCGUCGCUGUACUGUAGGUCCUUUUGUGGAGGUGCCGCGCUGUGGGCUCAUUCACAGUGUGGGAGCUGCUGUUAUACAGUGGCGCUGAUUCAUUUUUUCUGACCCGCGCGUGCUAUUGUGUAUUGAGGCGGUCUGACGGUUCAUGUUUUUACAUCAUGUAAGCCCUCAGCUAAUUAUCUUUGCCCUGCCUGCUGCUGAGGUCUGUGUGCGGUGUCUUUUUUUUUUCCCUCCUUUUUCCCCCAGUACAGCUCAUUCAAGAAUAGAGACAACAGAACAUGACAUAUUUUGUUAGAUGUUUAAUAAAAAGUCUGAACUCAGGGUCAUCUCACUAGCUUUGUCCAAGGUUUCCACCAGCUGGUUCACGUGGCCUUCUUUAGUGGAUAGAAAAGACCUUAGAUAACUCCAUUUGCUUAGAAAGAUGACAAUAAAUGUAAACUUUUAUAAGCAGUCUUUGAAGUUGUUGUACCCGUCUUUCACAUUGCCUACCUUGUUAUAUUAGCUUCAUGCAAUUAACCUUUUUUGGCUGGCUGGUUACGCUAGGUCAUAUCAAGUAACCCAGGUGUAUCGAGUGCUGAUGUGAAGCAUUAUUCAUUGUCAUAGCUGCCUCGUUUGUCAUUUGCUCAACGUCAGUUUUGCUGUACUGUUUUUUAAAGUCGUGCUUUGUUAAAAAAACACAAACACUACAUGGUUUGCCAUCAGAGUUUAACAAAUAUCCCAGAGGAUGAACUGUAAAUUGUCAAGCCCACACAUAUAUUUUGUGCCCUUUUACAUUUUUUAAAAUUAUUAUUGUGAAUUUUCGAUUAUUGUUGUGAUUUUAUUAUAACUCUAGUUUUCCUGAGCUUCAGUUCUUCUUGUGUUUUUUUUUUUAAAUUUUCGUUCCUUUAUUUCUGUUCUAGUUUUUUUCUCAUCCUUCUGUGUCUUGUGACUUUACAGUUAUUAUAUUGUUAGUCCUUGUUCUUGACUCCUACUCCUUAAUGUGUCAUCCGCGUAUCCUUGUCACUGACUACUCGUUUAUGGCUACCCUUCACAUGUUAGUGUUUUUUCUUUGAGUUACUUCCUGUUUUACUUUGUAGGCUAGUUUCCUGUUGUGUCUAGUUCUAGUUUUACUUCCUAACUUUUCCCUCCUAUAUGACUGCUCCAUAUAGAAGCUUGUUGAAUUCUUGACUGAAAAUGUAAUGUUUUUGCCAUACGUAAAUGAAAAUAAUCUCACAAUUUUGAAUUGUGUCAGUAAGGCCUGAUUUAGACUCUCUGAAGGGAAACUUUGUACAGUUGAAAACUAUGUAAGUAGUUGACCUUUUGGUCAUGAACCAAUGUUUUGCAUGCAUACAUAAUCAUUUAAAAAAAAGAUUUUUUUACUUGACGACAGCAAAAAUAAAUGAA
ensembl:lncRNA